AAAAGAAACCAACGGGGAUUACCUCAGUAACGGCGAGUGAAGCGGUAACAGCUCAAAUUUGAAAUCUGGGUCUUUCAGGCUCCGAGUUGUAAUUUGUAGAAGAUGCUUCGGGUGCGGCUCCGGUCUAAGUUCCUUGGAACAGGACGUCAUAGAGGGUGAGAAUCCCGUAUGUGAUCGGUUGCUUGCGCCCAUGUGAAGCUCUUUCGACGAGUCGAGUUGUUUGGGAAUGCAGCUCAAAAUGGGUGGUAAAUUUCAUCUAAAGCUAAAUAUUGGCCAGAGACCGAUAGCGCACAAGUAGAGUGAUCGAAAGAUGAAAAGCACUUUGGAAAGAGAGUUAAACAGUACGUGAAAUUGUUGAAAGGGAAGCGCUUGCAACCAGACUUGCGCGUUGCUGAUCAUCCGGGGUUCUCCCCGGUGCACUCGGCCUCGCUCAGGCCAGCAUCGGUUUCGGUGGUGGGAUAAAGGCCUUGGGAAUGUAGCUUCUUUCGGGGAGUGUUAUAGCCCUCGGUGCAAUGCCGCCUACCGGGGCCGAGGACCGCGCUUCGGCUAGGAUGCUGGCGUAAUGGUUGUAAGCGACCC
rnacentral:rRNA from 1 species